rnacentral:rRNA from 1 species
GUGUCAGCCGCCGCGGUAAUACGUAGGGUGCGAGCGUUAAUCGGAAUUACUGGGCGUAAAGCGUGCGCAGGCGGUCCGCAAAGUCUGAUGUGAAAGCCCCGGGCUCAACCUGGGAACUGCAUUGGAAACUAACGGGCUCGAGUGUGGCAGAGGGGGGUGGAAUUCCACGUGUAGCAGUGAAAUGCGUAGAGAUGUGGAGGAACACCGAUGGCGAAGGCAGCCCCCUGGGCUAACACUGACGCUCAGGCACGAAAGCGUGGGGAGCAAACAGGAUUAGAAACCCCCGUAGUCC